rnacentral:rRNA from 1 species
AUGAUUGGACAAGGAGGAUUUGGCAAAGUUUAUAAGGGAACACUAGGUGGUCAACAAAUUGCUGUCAAAAGGCUAAGUAGGGAUUCUCAACAAGGGACAAUUGAAUUCACAAAUGAAGUAGCACUUAUUGCCAAAUUGCAACACCGUAAUUUGGUUAGACUACUUGGAUGUUGUGGCGAGGGAGAUGAAAAGUUGUUGAUUUAUGAGUACUUGCCUAAUAAAAGCUUAGAUGACACACUUUUUGAUGAUUCAAGAAAACAGUUGCUAGACUGGACGACAAGGUUUAAUAUAGUCAAAGGAAUUGCAAGGGGGCUUCUUUAUCUCCACCGAGAUUCAAGAUUGACUAUAAUCCAUAGAGACCUCAAAGCUGGAAAUGUUUUACUAGAUGCAGAGAUGAAACCCAAGAUAGCAGAUUUUGGUAUGGCAAGGCUCUUUGACAAUAACCAGGAAAAUGCAAACACUUAA